GGAUUUUGCAAUGAGGAUUCCAAGCUCCCUCUUCUGAGUAACAUUGAGGAAACUUGCUGGCAGAAUCGAACCAAUAACAACUAGCCACCACUGAGCAU
rnacentral:snoRNA from 1 species